rnacentral:rRNA from 1 species
UACCCUAAAUUCAGCCCGCCCCACUAACAUCAUAAUUUAAUUAUUUUUAAACCCUAAAAUACUCAAAAUAUUAAAUAAAUCAUUUUUCCUCCUAAGUAUGGGAGACAAAAAAG